AGGCUGUAAUGCUGCAGCUGAAAGCACUUUUCACUGGCUUUAAUUACUGGAGGUUAGGAAAAGCUGUGGAUGGGUACCAGAUGGCAGAUAGGCUACAGCUGAGCAGAGCAGCACCUGGGUGAUCAAAGAAGCUGUAGAAGUGUGUGCCCAGAGCUCUGCGUGCUGAGAUUCUUUUGCAUCUGCUGGUUUCCUUGAUCUGUGUGCUGGAGCUGUGCCUGCAGUGAAAGUGAGCAGCCUGCAGGAGUUACCACAGCACAGCAGAAGCAUCAGCCCUCUCCUCCCUGCUGCUCCCAUGCCUGAGGAAAACAUUCCCUGUUGAGAUGCUCACUGCUGCUCUCGGCUUGCUCUUGGAGACACACCGACCUCUGAUAUGAUCCAAAGAUGAAAAUGUGAGCUAAAGUUUCCUGGAAUAUACU